UGGGGUCUAAUCUGUGAUCUCUGGCUUUUUCACUGUCACCGCUUGGGCCCAUCUUUCCGCUUUCAUUGGCACUGGCUCCCUCCAUCUCUAGGGACCCAACAGGGAGGACCAUACUUGAGUGGCUGACCUCACAGUCCUGAGAGAGAAUGGUGUGUCCCUCCACUGAAAGCUGAGUUAGGAAAUAUUCCUGUCCUAACCUCUGACCUAAAUCUGCACAAGUCUGACCUGCAAACCACAAGCACAAGGUGAUGAAGUAAGCAGUAACAGCCACCAGAGACGGGUAACAUAGCGAUUGGAUCAGAAGUGACUGGAAGUCAGGCAGAAAACACACAAGCAGGAGACCCCCAGCCCUUGGAGAAGGGCAGGCAGCGCUGGAGCUCCACAUAAGCAGGGGCCGAGGUCACCUCCCCUCUGGCUCCUCUGCCCCCCUAAAUUAAGGAGUUUUGUUUGGGUUUAAUUUCAACAGGGAGAGGAAAGAAAGAGCAAUUUGACCCCUGUUCCACUUCCAAAGCAGAGAGGGCUCAGACCCCUCUCCCGCAGUCCUCUGAAUGCUGCCAGCAGUCCCAAGGGGCAGAGAAGAGGUCAAUUGCAACAGCCUUAGGAGAGCAAUUGCACAAUUCACCACAAGGCCACAGGGCAGCGGGGAAGGGAUGAUUCUAGCCACGUGGAGCAGUGGACAAUAUGCUGGCCUGGGCUCCUGUCACCACUGUGCCAUCAACUCGUCAUUUGACCUCAGCCAAGUUACCAAACCUCUUUAAACCUUCAUUUCCUCACCUGUCAAACUAAGAAAUGUGGUGCUUUUUAGAAUUAAAAAAAGUGAAAAGUACCUUGGUAUUAUCCAACCUAACCUGUUUAUUUAUAUACUUGGAAACUCAGUACUACAGAGAGGGAGUAUCUUGCCCAGUGUUACAUGGCAA